UCCCUGGUGGCUCAGAGGUUAAAGCGUCUGCCUGCAGAGCAGGAGACCCAGGUUCAAUCCCUGAGUCAGGAAG